rnacentral:tRNA from 1 species
GGAUAUAGUAUAGUGGUAAUACUGCCGUCCUUCACAUGGGAGACCGGGGUUCGAACCCUGGAUGCG